UCAAGAAACCAUCUUGCUCCGCUCCCGCCUUCACUUUUCGUACAGCACCAAGUUGGUUCGCGGCCAAUCACGCAGCAGUAUUCGUGUGUGGGGCGGGAUAAUGGGCGGGAUAUCCGGGUGUGACGACAACACCAAGCGCCAGUAGAUGAAAACAAACAUGGCAACGGAGGACAACGAUCGUGUAGAUGCUGCUCUUAAGUCCGUUUUAGCUGAAUCUCCUAUCGCUUCUUUGAAGGAAGAACAACGAGAGGGGCUUUGCGCAUUUCUGGAUGACAGAUGAGCUCCAGAUGUUGUGCGACAGCAGCAGCAGCGACAUCGUCUGUCAGACUCGCAGUAAUUAAGGCGUCACAUGUGACAACUGCAGAAUUCGCCAACACGUCCCACCCUGGUGGAGGCUUCAGGAUAAUGAAGAUAUAGUGACACGACGGCCUCCUGAGACUCACAGGACCAGUUGAUGAUUUAGACUAUGCUCUGUUGCAUCACAAAACUCUUCACAACAAAAUAUAAUUAAAAUAAAUAGCCUGUGAAAUAA